rnacentral:tRNA from 1 species
UCCCCCGUGGUGUAAUUGGUAAGCACUGUGGCUUUUGGUGCCAUCUGUCCGGGUUCGAGUCCUGGCGGGGGAGCCC